CCCCAGUCGAAUAGCAAGCCGAAGACAGCAGGUGCCCGCGGGCUUAAUGUCCUGCCGAGGUUUGAGCGAAGUUCAAAGGGAUCCCUUCUUGGAUCGCUUUUGAUGGUGCGCUUAUCUCCAUGCGUCUCGGCCACGGCUGGGGCGCAUUCUGUUUGGUAGA
rfam:Synechococcus sp. JA-2-3B'a(2-13), complete genome.